rnacentral:rRNA from 1 species
CAGUGAGGAAUAUUGGUCAAUAACCUAAACGGCUGAACCAGCAACUUGGAGGAAUGUACAGGGAAAACUGGUAAAAUGUGAUGUACCUGAUAAUAUUAGUGAUUAAUAUGAAAUUAACUAAGUUAAUUAAAAUUCAAGGUAGAUAUGUGAUUAUGACAAUAUUUACUUAUUUCUUGACCAAGUCACGUGCCAGCAGUCGCGGUAAUACGUGGAAGAUAAGUGUUAUUCAUCUUUAUUAGGUAUAAAGGGUACCUAGACGGUUAAUUAAGCAUAUAAGUGUACUGAUUAUUAACUAGAGUUUAAUGUAAGAAGGUCGAGUACGGUGAGUGAAGAGAUAAAAUUCUGUCAUACCACCAAGGAACUGGUAAAGGCGAAGGCAUCCUUUUAUGUAAAAACUGACGUUGAGGGACGAAGGCUCGUAUCAAAUAAUAGGAUUAGAGACCCUAGUAUUGUGGGCAGAAAAUGAUGAGUGUCAUAUGCAAGAAGAGUUUUUGUGUAUAAAUGAAAGUGUAAGCAUUCCACCUUUAGAGUAACAUGGCAACAUGGGAAUAGAAAUCAUUAGACCGUUUCUGAAACUCGUAGUGAAGUAUGUUGUUUAAUUUGAUAAUCCUCAAAUAACCUUACCACAAUUUGUAUUACUAGUGUAUAUUAGUAACAAGCGUUGCACGGCUGUCUUCAGUCAAUGUUGUGAAACUUUGGUUAGAUCCAUUAAAUUGACGUAAACCCUUGCUUUAUUUGUUAUAAAGCAGUUCGCCGCUAUAUUGGUAUUGAUAUAAGGACCAAGACAAGUCAUCUACCUUUU